UACAGAGGGUGCAAGCGUUAAUCGGAAUUACUGGGCGUAAAGCGCGCGUAGGUGGUUCGUUAAGUUGGAUGUGAAAGCCCCGGGCUCAACCUGGGAACUGCAUUCAAAACUGACGAGCUAGAGUAUGGUAGAGGGUGGUGGAAUUUCCUGUGUAGCGGUGAAAUGCGUAGAUAUAGGAAGGAACACCAGUGGCGAAGGCGACCACCUGGACUGAUACUGACGCUGAGGCACGAAAGCGUGGGGAGCAAACAGG
rnacentral:rRNA from 1 species